CCCAACUGCUGAGUAAACAGGGCUUUAUAAUCUCUCCUCCCAUGGGCUGGUUUACUAAAUAGAUCAAUAUUUGGUUUGUAGGCACAGAGAUUAGGAGGUGGAAAUGUCUUUUGAAAAAGCCCAAUCUCUUCCCAGGGCCCUGAGUGCACCUGAGAAUGCUGAAAAGAAAAGCCAAGUUCACGGACAAAAAAAGAAUCACCCAAGCUGCUUUCACCUGCCUGCGAUUUCCCAGGAAGCCAGUUUGUCUUUAAGAAGUGAGACCCAUUUGAGAAUGAGUAAUGUCUUAGGCUCUUUAGUCUAAUGCUUAGAGAAUUCCACUUUCUUCUUUCGCUCGGCCUCCCCCUGAGCUCCCCUUUCUCUGUCCCCAACUCCAUUUUAUUUAAUCUUUCUAAAUGGAUAUUGUAGCCUCAGGGACUAAAAGAAUGACACAUGGAUAAACAGGAACUAAGCUCCUAAGCUUUUCCCCUACCUGCCAUCUUCCUCACCACGCAUGAGGAUUAGAAGCAUCACAAAGAAAGCAGUCUCGGAAGUUUGUCAAAUAGAGAUUUCUGGGUGAUGGUUUGGGAAAGGAUGAUUUAGAUCGUGCCUCUCCUGGGUCGGGAAAGUGACUGAAACACAUAACAGCAGAGAACUUGAAGUGCUGGUUUGAGCUUCAGGAGAUGUGAGUUCUAGCCCCAGUGCUGCCUGUGAUUUUCUCUGUGACCUGGGACAAGUCCCUUGUGGAUACGACAGGAUAUGCGGGCUACAGGGAUCUCUGAGGCUUCUCCCAGGUAGGCAAAGUGGAGUGUCAGACUAAGCUGGGCUCAAAAGUUUGUCCUGACACUAGUUAACAGCAAAGUCUUCAAAUCACAGGCAACUCUUAAGAGUUGCACUUGCUUCGCUGUAAAAAACGGGAGAAUUAAUGAAUCACUGUGAAGACUAAAUGAGAUAAUGGAUGGGGCACACCUCACUGGGUGUGUGAUACUUGUUGUCAUGCAACAUCAUAGUACUUUGCUGAUUCAGUCAUUUCACAGAGUAAUUAGCGUCUGUCUCUGAAAAAUAAAAUACUGCAAUUGGCUGCCGUCUCUAGGACUUUGUGACUUCCUUUGGACAGGUGGUUGCAAAAAGCCUACACCUUUAAAAGUGCCCCCUGAAAGUUAAUGAAUCACUGUGAAGACUAAAUGAGAUAAUGGAUGUGACACAACUCUCUGGGUACCCAGAAUGGAGGAGAUGGUAGGCCAUGGCAGAUGGUAGGGGAGAAGCUGGCUUCAGACAAUCUACAGAAACCCAGUUUCCUGAUUUUUCUGUGCAAGGAAUAGCACAGGCAUCUGAUAAUUCCACUAUUCUCUCUGGCUGGUGGCCUUCUCUUUGAAAGACUGCAUGGUUUCAGUUCAGUUUCAUAUAGAUCUGUGUGUAGAUCUGUACAGUGAUAACAUUCCUUUGUGCUAAGUCAGUCCAAGAUAACUAACCUGUUUCCAAGAUCUAAUUUUGUAUGUGGGAAUCUUGCCUUGCCCUGAUUUCCAGACCCAUAGGCAGGCUUGCAGGCUGUAGCUGGGGAAGACCCCACGCUUAUUCUGGUGCCCUGAGCAAGACCUCCUGCUCCACUAUUAGGCAGAAGCACCUGUUCUGCCACAGGAGGUGCUGUCUUUUGCUGGCAGAGCUCAGUUUCCCUUAAGGGGAAGUUCCUUAGGAUUUAAGGCCUC
rnacentral:lncRNA from 1 species